rnacentral:rRNA from 1 species
GAUUUCGUCUUGGUGGUCUGCCGAAAGGUAUGCACUGCUAAGGUGGGGUCUUUUCCUUCUGGGGAGCCGUCAUGCACUUUACUGGGUGUGGCGGGGACCCAGGACUUUUACUGUGAAAAAAUUAGAGUGUUUAAAGCAGGCAAGCGCUUGAAUACAUUAGCAUGGAAUAAUGAAAUAGGA